GCUAGGCUCACUUGGUAGAGCAUGAGGCUCUUAAUCUCAAGGUCGUGGGUUCAAGCCCCAUGUUGGGCG